rnacentral:lncRNA from 1 species
CGGCCCUAUCAGGAGGAUGAGCUUCAGACAGUGGGCGGGGCCACAAAGGGCAAGUGUAUCACAGGGUCCAAUAAACAGCUUUCUCUGGUCUUUCCAAGAUCACAAUUUACAAUGCCCCUUUAUAAAAAGGAGUUAUUGGAAGAAGGUGAGAUCAUUUCGUGGAAAAUACAAGCCGGGGGUCCGUAGAAUGGAAAUUUGACAAGGUUGGGAAUCUGUGAUCACGAUGAACGAGAUGGAGCUUGUGGUUGGAUCGGAAGGUUUUCUGGCCUCAGGAACUUUGGCCAAGGCAGUUUCCUGGGUUGGUAAUGGAUCAUCUCCAGACAUCGAAGGGCAUCAUUAUCACGGAUAAGAACACAGAUGCUGGGGCUGGAGAGAUGGCGCAGAGGUUAAGAGCUGGCACUAAUCUUUCAGAGGACUGGAGUUUGGUUCCCAUCCCCAUGUUGGGCAGAUCAUGACGACCUGUGACUACAGCUUCAGAGGGCCUAGAACCUUCUUCUGGAGACCCUGCAUGCUCUGCCUUCAUGUGCUCCUUCCCCUAAGACACAGACGCCUUCCUAACCGUCUCUGGUGACAACAGGACAGGAACAUCACAGCUGUUUAUGUGCUAUGAUUUCCUAUGUGUGCACACAGGAAUAAGACUCUCUUGCCUUGCCCACAAACCACUCUUCACUCUUGGGAUGACCUUGCUCCAGCUGGGAUCAGAAGUUCUAGAGCAUUCUGGAAGACAAAAUGGGUAGCAAGUACAGAAGAGAGCUCCCAACUUCAUCACCACCGGGAAAAUGCAAAAUGCAACCAUGAGAUGCCACCUCUCAAACAUAAGGAUGACGAAAUGCAGAAGUCAAGUGGGUGAAGCCGUGCCCUCUUACAGAACUAGAUAAAGACAUUGUGAACACCCGGCGCGGGGGCUUCGUAGAAAGCUAAAAGUAGGGUUGCCGUAUGAUCCAGCAAGCUCACUUCUGGAUAGAGCAAAGGAAGUGAAGUCACAGACAACCGCUUUAUGCUUAUAUGUUGCAGUGUUAUAAUUGGUAGCAAUUUGCCUGAGAUGUGCCAACUGAUCCAGAUGAAGAAAUCAGGCUACACACGUACAAUAGAAGGGAAUGUGCUUCAGCCUUGGAAGAGGCAGUCCUGACGUCUAUGAGUGAACAUGGAAGACAAAUGUGCCCCUCAGGGAAAGCGACACAUACAAGUUUGUCUAGAGAACUAGAAUAUUCUUUCUUGUGGAAAGAAAGGCCAUUUCCCACGAGAGCUGAUGACCAGGAUGCGAAAUGACAUCUGGUGACCGCGCAGCUGCGGAUUGUCGAAUCCAAAGCAAUAAAAGGAUCUAGAAAUGUGAGCCAGUACUCUUUAAAAUAAAAAUAAAAAUAAAACCAUUCUAUUAUAAUGAACUCACAAAUGAAACAUCACACAGCUAGGUUAAAAUAGACAGACUUGGGCCUCGUCCCCGACUCUGCCUUUUAAUGAGC